rnacentral:misc_RNA from 1 species
GAUGAAGAACGUAGCGAAAUGCGAUAAGUAAUGUGAAUUGCAGAAUUCAGUGAAUCAUCGAAUCUUUGAACGCACAUUGCGCCCGCCAGUAUUCUGGCGGGCAUGCCUGUUCGAGCGUCAUUACAACCCUCAGGCCCCCGGGCCUGGCGUUGGGGAUCGGCGGAGCCCCCCGUGGGCACACGCCGUCCCCCAAAUGCAGUGGCGGUCCCGCCGCAGCUUCCAUCGCGUAGUAGCUAACACCUCGCGACUGGAGAGCGGCGCGGCCACGCCGUAAAACACCCAACUCUUCUGAAGUUGACCUCGAAUCAGGUAGGAAUACCCGCUGAACUUAAGCAUAUCAAUAAGCGAGGA